AGUUUGUCGAGAAAUUCAACAGUGAAGGGAACAUGACUUACAGCCUUUGCGUCAACCGAUUUUCGGAUAUGAGCUAUGACGAAUUCCUCAGGUAUUAUACUGGAUACAAGCAGCCCACUGAAUCAACCUCAUCCGCAGAUGCAUCAUUUACGUACGAAAACCUAAGCCCGACGGAUGUUCCCCCAAGCAUUGACUGGAGGGACAAUGGAGCUGUUACUCCAGUAAAAGAUCAAGGGCGCUGUGGUAAGAGCACCAACCACCAUAUUAAUAUGGGGCUAAGUACAUAUAUAUGUAUUGCAUUAAUUACUUUCUUCUUGCAUUCAUUCCUACGGAAAUUAAUUCAUAUCCGUUUGUUCAAAUACAUGCAGGUUGUUGCUGGGCAUUUUCUGCAGUGGCAGCAGUCGAAGGGAUUACCCAAAUCAAAACUGGCAAAUUGAUCUCACUAUCUGAGCAACAGCUUGUGAGCUGUGAUACAGAUAACAACAGGGGCUGCCAAGGUGGUUGGAUGGUUAAUGCCUUUGCAUACAUUCAACAAAACGGAGGAAUUGCCAGUGAAGAAAAUUACCCAUACCAGAGUUUAGAUGGCAGUGAAGGAACAUGUGAUAUGAACAAGGCAAAUGAGGCUGCUGCCCGGAUAACUAGUUAUGCAGAGGUACCUCCCAACAGUGAAACCGAUCUACUCAAGGCUGUGUCCAUGCAACCAGUCUCCGUUGCCAUCAAUAUGUCACCAGCCUUUCAGCAUUAUUCAGGCGGGGUGUUCACCGGUGAUGAUUGUGGGACAUCAUUGGACCACGCUGUUACCGUCAUUGGGUAUGGGACAACUGAUGAUGGCACCCCCUAUUGGUUAAUCAAGAAUUCAUGGUCCGAUACGUGGGGUGAGAAUGGCUACAUGAAGAUUCUUAGAAACGCUGAAGCCCCAGGUGGUGUUUGUAGCCUCGCUACGAAAGCUUCCUAUCCGACUAUUUAAUGUAUUAAUGAAAGGGUGGAGUGAGCUUCUCCACUUUGCCUAUAGGUUAUAAGUACUACAGACAAAAACCAUAGGCUGUGAAAAUGCCUGUAUUUUGUAUUUGCUAAAAGUAUGGUUUAUGAAAUUACACUAUUUUUGUUGUGCUAGGAUAACACCAAAACCAAUUGGAACCAACUCAAGCUAACCCACAUGAAAUUUAUCAAAUGAAAAUGCAAGAACAAAAUAUAAAAGACAUCAAGAUUUUAACGAGGUUCCUCAACAGUCAGUGUAACUGGAGUACGUCCUCGGAGCAGUAGGAGCUCACCCAAUAAUCCACUAUCAACCAAUUGGGAGUUUACAAAGUGUUGGCAAUCUCACAACCUAAAUAACCCAAUACACCCAAUAGCUCUCACACACCACAGAAACAAAUAGAGAAAGAAAUAUAAUGAAUAAUUUCUUCUCUAUACAUAUAGCUCAAAGCUAUUUCAACAACAACUACUUUGGUGGAUGAUUACUAACCAAAUGAAGCAUCAUCUUCUUCUUCUUUUUGGGCUCUCUGCAACUCUCUUUGCUCUCGGCAGCUCUCACUUCUCUCUUCAGAAAAAAAUGAGCCCCUUCUUCUUUUUUUUUUCUCUUCAUCCGAAGAAAACCAAUAAUUAUGGCUUUGAAAAAGCCACAAAACAAGGAAACAUAAUCAUGAUGCCUCCUCAUCAUGAUGUUCCCUCAUCAUUAUGUCCUUCAAUCUUUUGUUUUGUUUACUAGCCGAAAGUGAAUGCCAAGUUGGCCACUAAUUUGGCCAUUAUCCAACAAUCUCCACCUUGGCCAAAUUCCGAAAACACCAUUAUAAGCCAACCAACACAAAAACACUCCCAAACACUACCAAGAGAACAACUCAUGCUGAGCCAAAUGCUCCAAAACUCCUACUGCUCAUCGCCUUCUUUAUAUAGGCAAAAUGUGAGCCAAGUUCAAGCAAUGAACAAACUUGGCUACACCAACAACCUUAGUCAACAUAUCAGUGGGGUUGUCUUUAGUUGGAAUCUUCUGGAGAAUGAUUUCUCCUUCACCAACAACUUCACGAACAAAGUGAUAACGCAUAUCUAUGUGCUUGGUCCUUGCAUGGUGAACAUGAUACUUAGCCAAAUAAAUGGCACUCUGACUAUCACAAUGCACCUGCACCUGCUUCUGAUCCACCCCCAAAUCUCUAAUUAGCCUAUGUAUCCAAAUGGCCUCCUUUAUAGCUACAGCAACUGCCAUAUAUUCAGCCUCUGUAGUAGACAAGGCAACAGACGACUGCAAAAUGGACCUCCAACAAACUGGCCCUUUAGCCAUAGUAAACACAUAGCCUGUAGUAGACUUCCUUCCAUCCAGAUCACCUGCAUAAUCUGAAUCAACAUAACCAACUGCAAAAUGACCAAUACCAGCGUCAUCCCUCUCAAAACAUAAACCAACAUCUUGAGUACCAUAGAGAUACCUCAAUAUCCACUUAGCUGCUUGCCAAUACUCUUUACCAGGAUUAUGCAUAUAUCGACUCACCAUGCCAACUGCAUGAGCAAUAUCCGGUCUAGAGCAUACCAUUGCAUACAUCAAACUACCAACCAAAUUUGCAUAUGGUAUAUUUUUCAUUUGCAGCUUCUCCUUAUCAGCUUUAGGACAUUGUAGAGAACUCAAUUUAAAAUGAGGAGCAAAGGGGUACUAACCGGUUUGGUUGAAUCAUGAACUCCAAACUUCUGAAUCAACUUCUCAAGGUAUUGUCUUUGAUUCAAGCAUACCAAACCUUUCUCUUUGUCUCUAGUGAUCUCCAUGCCAAGGAUCUUCUUUGCUUCACCAAGAUCCUUCAUCUCGAACUCAUUCUUCAUUUGCUUCUUCAAUUUCUCAAUCUCUUCGACAUUCUUUGAGGCAAUCAACAGAUCAUCAACAUAUAUCAACAAAUAAAUGAAAGACCCAUCUUGAAAAUUCUUGAAGUACACACAAUGAUCAUAUUGACUUCUAGAAUAAUUUUGGCCUUUCAUAAAUUUAUCAAACCUUAAAUACCAUUGCCUUGGAGAUUGCUUCAAGCCAUAAAGUGAUUUCUUCAAUUUGCAAAACAAAUUCUCCGUCCCUUUCACUGUAUACCCAUCCGGUUGACACAUAUAGAUCUCUUCAUUCAAAUCACCAUGUAAGAAAGCCAUCUUCACAUUAAGUUGCAAAGCUCAAGAUCAUACUGUGCAACAAGCGCUAACAUAAUGCGAAUUGAGGAGUGCUUCACAACUGGAGAAAAGAUUUCAUUGUAGUCAAUACCAUCAUUUUGUGCAUACCCUUUAGCAACUAAUCUUGCAUUGAAUCUCACAUUGCUUUUCUCAUCAGCAUCUUCCUUCUUGGCAUACACCCAUUUGCAAGUGAUAGCUUUCUUGCCCUUAGGCAAUUUAGCUAACUCCCAAGUCUUGUUCUUCAAGAGAGAAUUCAUCUCAUCACCCAUGGCAUUGCACCACCUCUCAUUCUCCUCACUCUCAAUGGCUUCCUCGAAAUUGGAUGGAAUAUCAUCAAUGAUAAUAGGAAGACCAAAAGCAACAUAGUCACUAUACUGGGCUGGCUUGGUAAUUUGUCUAUUUCCUCUGUUCUUGGCAAUAGGCUCUUGAGGUGAAACUUGCUCUUCAACUUGAAUAGAAUCUUCAAGUUCAACUUCUUCAACAUCCUCAUGGUCUCCAACUUCUUCACUUGUAGUGGCUUCGACAUCAGCAUAAAUAAGAUUUGAAGUACUAGAGACAACUUUCUCAAGCUCCACCUGUUGGACAUCUUUCACAUUCUUCUCAGAGUCCUUGUACAUACUUUCUUCAUCAAAUGUCACAUCUCUACUAAUUACAAGUUUCUUCAUCUCUGGGCACCACAACCGGUAACCUUUGACACCACUACAAAAACCAAGAAAGAUAGCCUUUUUGGCUAUAGGAUCAAGUUUAUUUUCAGUUACAUGAAAAUAAGCAGGUGAACCAAAAAUACGAAUAUGAUCAUAAUCAGAAGAGGGUUUUCCAGUCCAUACCUCCAUUGGUGUCUUACCCUGAAUAGCAGCUGAGGGUAACCGAUUGAUGAUGUGACAUGAGUAACUGCCUCUGCCCAAAACGACUUGCUCAAACUCGACUGAGACAACAUGCAUCUAACCUUCUCAAGCAAGGUUCGAUUCAAUCUUUCUGCAACUCCAUUUGUUGUGGAGUUCCCCAGACACUAAAAUGUCUCACAAUCCCUUCCUCUUUGCAAACUUUAAAGAAAGAGUCAGAUGUGUAUUCACCACCAUUAUCCGAUCUCAAAUCUUAAUCUUUCUCCCAGUUUGGUUUUCAACCAUUUUCUUUCAACCCAAGAAAAUGCUUAACACCUCACUCUUGUGCUUCAUAGUGUAGACCCAAGACCUUCUUGAAUAAUCAUCAACAAAAGUCACGAACCAAUGUCUACCACUCAAAGAGGGAGUCUUUGUAGGACCCCAAACAUCUGAAUGCACAUAAUCAAGAAUGCCCUUCAUCUGAUGUACCGCAGUACCAAACUUCACUCUAGUUUGCUUUCCUAAGACACAAUGCUCGCAUAAAUCAAGCUUACAAGUCGUGGCACAUUUUAGAAAACCUUGUUUCACAAGCCCUUGUAGAGCUUUCUCACCGGCAUGGCCUAAUCUCAUAUGCCACAGUCUAGUAGUAUCAGAAUCAUAUGUGCCCAUAUUUUCUGAGACUACAGAUGUUUCACCUGUCACAGUGCUUCCUUGCAAUAAAUACAAAUAGCCACAUCGAGGAGCUUUCAUCACAACAAGUGCACCAUAAGUAACUUUCAAUGUCUGUCCAUCUGAAUGAAACCUGAAGCCCUUGGAUUCCAAAGUACCCAAAGAAAUAAGAUUUUUCUUCAAAUUCGGUACAUACCGAACACCUGUCAACUCUUUAACCAUGCCAUCAUGCGACUUCAAACGAACUAUACCAAUCCCUUUUGUUGUGCAAGGAUUGUCAUCUCCUAUGAACACAACGCCACCAUCAAACUCUUUCAAGCUUGAAAACCAAUCCUUGUGAGGAGUCAUAUGAUGAGUACAACCCGUAUCCAACACCCACUUAGUAGCACAAUCAAAUGAUGAGGAAGUGGUUAAAGCAAAAUUAGAAAAAAUUUGUUUCAACCUCAGCAACAUUCAAUCAACCAUCAGCAGCCUUGCAGCUGCUUUCUGUUCCAUUCCAAGUGAAAGCCAAAAUAGUCGAUUUGAUACUUAUGAGUGGUUGGAGUAUAUAGCAAGAGAUGCUGCAUUUUGCCGUUAUUGCUAUAUUUUCAAAUGAAAACGGGAGAUGUUGGCAGUGAUGUCUUCACUGAAAAGGAUUUUUAAUGUAACUUGUUUGUAUUGAUAAAUUAUGGACGAUAUUACUAAAUUGAAAUGGUUGUUUCCUUUUUUUUAAACUUUGCACUCUUUUAAAUUCGCCCCUCCCCCUACUAAUUCUUGGCUUCGCCACUGAAUACUACAGAUGGCACCAAGUUCAGGAUAUUCAAGAAUGAAUGGGGUGAGAGCUAGGGCAAAAAUGGCUACAUUUGAAUUCUUAGAGAUGCUGGCCCUCCUAAAGGUCUGUGUGGCCUUGCUACAACGGCUUCCUACCCAAUUAUAGAUUGAUCGUGUCGGCUUCAAAGGCUACAAUUAAGUGCGUAAAUCUAAUUUUCUUCUCAAUAUUGAGAAAGCUCCGUUGAUAAAAAAGGGCUUGUAUUUUGUAUCUGAUUAGCAUAACUGAAGACGGCAUCGAGUUGUUUUGAAAAGAAUAUAAUUAAGUGUGUGGAUCUAAUUUUCUUUUCAUUUAGGUGUGCAGAGUUUUAUCUCAAAAUACCUCGAUUCUCUAGACUUAAAAUUUUAGAUAGUUUUUCCACUUGAUGAAGUUGAAACUUGAUAUACAUUAGAGCAAUUUUUAUCAAUUAGCUGAGCAUAAAAUUAAUACAGAAGAUCUGCAACCUCAAGAGAAUUAGUUUUGAAAAGCACACUAAAUUACAUGAAGAACACUUUGAGUGCCAGUCGAGCAACUCUGAGUUGGAGGGCCACUGCAUUGACUUACCAUUGUUAGUACUUGGAUUUCAAAAACAUCAUCAUCAAAUACUGGAGUUUUACGUUUAAAUUUCAUGAACCUGACCCCAAUUCCGUAUGAACACGGUAUGAGGUUCACACACCUUUAAUGGAAACUAAAGGCCAGAGGGCAAAGACUUCAGCAAAUAGACCAAGGACUUGUAGUCAUCAGACCCUUGAGUCAUCAAUGGAUCCUUCGAACUUCUUUGUGCACAAACUCCACGGCGAAAACAAAACAAGCGUAGCAUUCGGGCUAGACUGAUUGAUGAAGUUUACCGUGAAUCAUCAACCUGUGGAAUGUGCCUGGAAAUUUGGCUCCCUUCCAAAUUCCCAUCCUAACAAUUUCAACAAAGUGCACAUGCAGGCAAUCCCGAACGCCUUCUAUAUAAACCGGUAAUAUCAUGCUUGCUUCUUCACAUCCAGCUUGCCAAUCGCUACUUGAAACAAAGCCAUUGUCGACACAGAGCGCCCUCUCAUCACCGCAAUGGCUUUUGAAAGAAACCUUUUGAUUGUUACUAUACUCAUCACCUUGGGGACCUUGGCAUCUGAAGCCACGUCCCGCACAUUGUACCAAGCUUCCAUUGCUGCAAAACAUGAGCAGUGGAUGAAAAAGCAUGGACGCGUUUACCAGGACAGUGCGGAGAAGGAAAGGCGUUUCCUGAUAUUCAAAAACAAUAUGGAGUUUGUCGAGAAAUUCAACAGUGAAGGGAACAUGACUUACAGCCUAUGCGUCAACCGAUUUUCGGAUAUGAGCUAUGACGAAUUCCUCAGGUAUUAUACUGGAUACCAGCAGCCCACUGAAUCAACCUCAUCCGCAGAUGCAUCAUUUACGUACGAAAACCUAAGCCCGACGGAUGUUCCCCCAAGCAUUGACUGGAGGGACAAUGGAGCUGUUACUCC
rnacentral:lncRNA from 1 species